rnacentral:rRNA from 1 species
GUGGGGAAUAUUGGACAAUGGGCGAAAGCCUGAUCCAGCCAUGCCGCGUGUGUGAAGAAGGUCUUCGGAUUGUAAAGCACUUUAAGUUGGGAGGAAGGGUAGUAACCUAAUACGUUGCUACUUUGACGUUACCGACAGAAUAAGCACUGGCUAACUUCGUGCCAGCAGCCGCGGUAAUACGAAGGGUGCAAGCGUUAAUCGGAAUUACUGGGCGUAAAGCGCGCGUAGGUGGUUCAGUAAGUUGGAAGUGAAAUCCCCGGGCUCAACCUGGGAACUGCAUCCAAAACUGGCGAGCUAGAGUACGGUAGAGGGUGGUGGAAUUUCCUGUGUAGCGGUGAAAUGCGUAGAUAUAGGAAGGAACACCAGUGGCGAAGGCGACCACCUGGACUGAUACUGACACUGAGGUGCGAAAGCGUGGGGAGCAAACAGGAUUAGAAACCCUGGUAGUCC